rnacentral:rRNA from 1 species
AAGUCGAACGCGGUUUCCCCGCAAGGGGAAACUGAGUGGCGAACGGGUGAGUAACACGUGGGUGACCUACCUUCGAGUGGGGGAUAACGUCCCGAAAGGGACGCUAAUACCGCAUAACAUCCUGUCCUUGAACGGAUGGAGAUCAAAGCCGGGGAUCGCAAGACCUGGCGCUUGAUGAGGGGCCCGCGUCUGAUUAGCUAGUUGGUGAGGUAACGGCUCACCAAGGCGACGAUCAGUAGCCGGCCUGAGAGGGCGGACGGCCACACUGGGACUGAGACACGGCCCAGACUCCUACGGGAGGCAGCAGUGGGGAAUUGUUCACAAUGGGCGCAAGCCUGAUGACGCAACGCCGCGUGGAGGAUGAAGGUCUUCGGAUUGUAAACUCCUGUUGCUCGGGACGAAUGGCUCCAACCUAAUACGUUGGAGUGUGACGGUACCGAGUGAGGAAGCCCCGGCUAACUCUGUGCCAGCAGCCGCGGUAAUACAGAGGGGGCAAGCGUUGUUCGGAAUUACUGGGCGUAAAGGGCGCGUAGGCGGCCUGUUAAGUCGAACGUGAAAUCCCCGGGCUCAACCCGGGAACUGCGUCCGAUACUGGCAGGCUUGAAUCCGGGAGAGGGAUGCGGAAUUCCAGGUGUAGCGGUGAAAUGCGUAGAUAUCUGGAGGAACACCGGUGGCGAAGGCGGCAUCCUGGACCGGCAUUGACGCUGAGGCGCGAAAGCCAGGGGAGCAAACGGGAUUAGAUACCCCGGUAGUCCUGGCCCUAAACGAUGAAUGCUUGGUGUGGCGGGUAUCGAUCCCUGCGUGCCGAA